rnacentral:rRNA from 1 species
GGAGUUAGCCGGUGCUUCUUCUGUGAGUGAUGUCCUUCCUGCCGGUUAUUGACCCGCAGGCCUUCUUCCUCACUGAAAGUGCUUUACAACCCGAAGUCCUUCUUCACACACGCGGCAUGGCUGGAUCAGGGUUGCCCCCAUUGUCCAAUAUUCCCCACUGCUGCCUCCCGUAGGAGUCUGGGCCGUGUCUCAGUCCCAGUGUGGCUGAUCAUCCUCUCAGACCAGCUACGGAUCGUCGCCUUGGUGAGCCGUUACCUCACCAACCAGCUAAUCCGACAUAGGCUCAUCCGAUAGCGCGAGGCCCGAAGGUCCCCCGCUUUCCCCCGUAGGGCGUAUGCGGUAUUAGCCUGGGUUUCCCCAGGUUAUCCCCCACUACCGGGCAGAUUCCUAUGCAUUACUCACCCGUCCGCCGCUCGCCACCAGGGAGCAAGCUCCCCGUGCUGCCGCUCGACUUGCAUGUGUUAGGCCUGCCGCCAGCGUUCAAUCUGAGCCAUAAUCAAACUCUGA